GAUGAACGCUGGCGGCGUGCCUAAUACAUGCAAGUCGAGCGAACGGACGAGAAGCUUGCUUCUCUGAUGUUAGCGGCGGACGGGUGAGUAACACGUGGAUAACCUACCUAUAAGACUGGGAUAACUUCGGGAAACCGGAGCUAAUACCGGAUGAUAUUUUGAACCGCAUGGUUCAAAAGUGAAAGACGGUCUUGCUGUCACUUAUAGAUGGAUCCGCGCUGCAUUAGCUAGUUGGUAAGGUAACGGCUUACCAAGGCAACGAUGCAUAGCCGACCUGAGAGGGUGAUCGGCCACACUGGAACUGAGACACGGUACAGACUCCUACGGGAGGCAGCAGUAGGGAAUCUUGCGCAAUGGGCGAAAGCCUGACGGAGCAACGCCGCGUGAGUGAUGAAGGUCUUCGGAUCGUAAAACUCUGUUAUUAGGGAAGAACAUAUGUGUAAGUAACUGUGCACAUCUUGACGGUACCUAAUCAGAAAGCCACGGCUAACUACGU
rnacentral:rRNA from 1 species